rnacentral:rRNA from 2 species
UUAAGCGACUAAGCGUACACGGUGGAUGCCCUGGCAGUCAGAGGCGAUGAAGGACGUGCUAAUCUGCGAUAAGCGUCGGUAAGGUGAUAUGAACCGUUAUAACCGGCGAUUUCCGAAUGGGGAAACCCAGUGUGAUUCGUCACACUAUCAUUAACUGAAUCCAUAGGUUAAUGAGGCGAACCGGGGGAACUGAAACAUCUAAGUACCCCGAGGAAAAGAAAUCAACCGAGAUUCCCCCAGUAGCGGCGAGCGAACGGGGAGCAGCCCAGAGCCUGAAUCAGUGUGUGUGUUAGUGGAAGCGUCUGGAAAGGCGCGCGAUACAGGGUGACAGCCCCGUACACAAAAAUGCACAUGCUGUGAGCUCGAUGAGUAGGGCGGGACACGUGGUAUCCUGUCUGAAUAUGGGGGGACCAUCCUCCAAGGCUAAAUACUCCUGACUGACCGAUAGUGAACCAGUACCGUGAGGGAAAGGCGAAAAGAACCCCGGCGAGGGGAGUGAAAAAGAACCUGAAACCGUGUACGUACAAGCAGUGGGAGCACGCUUAGGCGUGUGACUGCGUACCUUUUGUAUAAUGGGUCAGCGACUUAUAUUCUGUAGCAAGGUUAACCGAAUAGGGGAGCCGAAGGGAAACCGAGUCUUAACUGGGCGUUAAGUUGCAGGGUAUAGACCCGAAACCCGGUGAUCUAGCCAUGGGCAGGUUGAAGGUUGGGUAACACUAACUGGAGGACCGAACCGACUAAUGUUGAAAAAUUAGCGGAUGACUUGUGGCUGGGGGUGAAAGGCCAAUCAAACCGGGAGAUAGCUGGUUCUCCCCGAAAGCUAUUUAGGUAGCGCCUCGUGAAUUCAUCUCCGGGGGUAGAGCACUGUUUCGGCAAGGGGGUCAUCCCGACUUACCAACCCGAUGCAAACUGCGAAUACCGGAGAAUGUUAUCACGGGAGACACACGGCGGGUGCUAACGUCCGUCGUGAAGAGGGAAACAACCCAGACCGCCAGCUAAGGUCCCAAAGUCAUGGUUAAGUGGGAAACGAUGUGGGAAGGCCCAGACAGCCAGGAUGUUGGCUUAGAAGCAGCCAUCAUUUAAAGAAAGCGUAAUAGCUCACUGGUCGAGUCGGCCUGCGCGGAAGAUGUAACGGGGCUAAACCAUGCACCGAAGCUGCGGCAGCGACGCUGAUGCGUUGUUGGGUAGGGGAGCGUUCUGUAAGCCUGUGAAGGUGUACUGUGAGGUAUGCUGGAGGUAUCAGAAGUGCGAAUGCUGACAUAAGUAACGAUAAAGCGGGUGAAAAGCCCGCUCGCCGGAAGACCAAGGGUUCCUGUCCAACGUUAAUCGGGGCAGGGUGAGUCGACCCCUAAGGCGAGGCCGAAAGGCGUAGUCGAUGGGAAACAGGUUAAUAUUCCUGUACUUGGUGUUACUGCGAAGGGGGGACGGAGAAGGCUAUGUUGGCCGGGCGACGGUUGUCCCGGUUUAAGCGUGUAGGCUGGUUUUCCAGGCAAAUCCGGAAAAUCAAGGCUGAGGCGUGAUGACGAGGCACUACGGUGCUGAAGCAACAAAUGCCCUGCUUCCAGGAAAAGCCUCUAAGCAUCAGGUAACAUCAAAUCGUACCCCAAACCGACACAGGUGGUCAGGUAGAGAAUACCAAGGCGCUUGAGAGAACUCGGGUGAAGGAACUAGGCAAAAUGGUGCCGUAACUUCGGGAGAAGGCACGCUGAUAUGUAGGUGAAGUCCCUCGCGGAUGGAGCUGAAAUCAGUCGAAGAUACCAGCUGGCUGCAACUGUUUAUUAAAAACACAGCACUGUGCAAACACGAAAGUGGACGUAUACGGUGUGACGCCUGCCCGGUGCCGGAAGGUUAAUUGAUGGGGUUAGCGCAAGCGAAGCUCUUGAUCGAAGCCCCGGUAAACGGCGGCCGUAACUAUAACGGUCCUAAGGUAGCGAAAUUCCUUGUCGGGUAAGUUCCGACCUGCACGAAUGGCGUAAUGAUGGCCAGGCUGUCUCCACCCGAGACUCAGUGAAAUUGAACUCGCUGUGAAGAUGCAGUGUACCCGCGGCAAGACGGAAAGACCCCGUGAACCUUUACUAUAGCUUGACACUGAACAUUGAGCCUUGAUGUGUAGGAUAGGUGGGAGGCUUUGAAGUGUGGACGCCAGUCUGCAUGGAGCCGACCUUGAAAUACCACCCUUUAAUGUUUGAUGUUCUAACGUGGACCCGUAAUCCGGGUUGCGGACAGUGUCUGGUGGGUAGUUUGACUGGGGCGGUCUCCUCCUAAAGAGUAACGGAGGAGCACGAAGGUUGGCUAAUCCUGGUCGGACAUCAGGAGGUUAGUGCAAUGGCAUAAGCCAGCUUGACUGCGAGCGUGACGGCGCGAGCAGGUGCGAAAGCAGGUCAUAGUGAUCCGGUGGUUCUGAAUGGAAGGGCCAUCGCUCAACGGAUAAAAGGUACUCCGGGGAUAACAGGCUGAUACCGCCCAAGAGUUCAUAUCGACGGCGGUGUUUGGCACCUCGAUGUCGGCUCAUCACAUCCUGGGGCUGAAGUAGGUCCCAAGGGUAUGGCUGUUCGCCAUUUAAAGUGGUACGCGAGCUGGGUUUAGAACGUCGUGAGACAGUUCGGUCCCUAUCUGCCGUGGGCGCUGGAGAACUGAGGGGGGCUGCUCCUAGUACGAGAGGACCGGAGUGGACGCAUCACUGGUGUUCGGGUUGUCAUGCCAAUGGCACUGCCCGGUAGCUAAAUGCGGAAGAGAUAAGUGCUGAAAGCAUCUAAGCACGAAACUUGCCCCGAGAUGAGUUCUCCCUGACUCCUUGAGAGUCCUGAAGGAACGUUGAAGACGACGACGUUGAUAGGCCGGGUGUGUAAGCGCAGCGAUGCGUUGAGCUAACCGGUACUAAUGAACCGUGAGGCUUAACCUU